AACGAACGCUGGCGGCAGGCUUAACACAUGCAAGUCGAGCGCCCCGCAAGGGGAGCGGCAGACGGGGGAGUAACGCGUGGGAACGUACCCUCUACUACGGAAUAACGACGGGAAACUUGUGCUAAUACCGUAUGUGCCCUUUGGGGGAACGAUUUAUCGGUAAAGGAUCGGCCCGCGUUGGAUUAGCUAGUUGGUGGGGUAUAGGCCUACCAAGGCGACGAUCCAUAGCUGGUCUGAAAGGAUGAUCAGACACAUUGGGACUGAGACACGGCCCAGACUCCUACGGGAGGCAGCAGUGGGGAAUAUUGGACAAUGGGCUCAAGCCUGAUCAGACAUGCCGCGUGAGUGAUGAAGGCCUUAGGGUUGUAAAGCUCUUUCACCGGGGAAGAUAAUGACGGUACCCGGAGAAGAAGCCCCGGCUAACUUCGUGCCAGCAGCCGCCGUAA
rnacentral:rRNA from 1 species